GACGAACGCUGGCGGCGUGCCUAAUACAUGCAAGUCGAGCGAAUCAAUGGGAGCUUGCUCCCUGAGAUUAGCGGCGGACGGGUGAGUAACACGUGGGUAACCUGCCUGUAAGACUGGGAUAACUUCGGGAAACCGGAGCUAAUACCGGAUACGUUCUUUUUUCGCAUGAGGAGAGAUGGAAAGAUGGUUCUGCUAUCACUUACAGAUGGACCCGCGGCGCAUUAGCUGGUUGGUGAGGUAACGGUUCACCAAGGCGACGAUGCGUAGCCGAACUGAGAGGUAGAUCGGCCUCCCGGGGACUGAGACACGGCCCGGACUCCUACGGGAGGCAGGAGUAGGGAAGCUUCCGCAAUGGACGAAAGUCUGACGGAGCAACGCCGCGUGAGCGAAGGAGGCCUUCGGGUCGUAAAGCUCUGUUGUUAGGGAAGAACAAGUACGAGAGUAACUGCUCGUACCUUGACGGUACCUAACCAGAAAGCCACGGCUAACUACGUGCCAGCAGCCGCGGUAA
rnacentral:rRNA from 1 species